rnacentral:lncRNA from 1 species
CAUAUGUAACAAACCUGCACGUUGUGCACAUGUACCCUAGAACUUAAAGUAUAAUAAAAAAAAUUCAAGACCUUGUGUGAAACAAAGAUCUCAAAAUCGCAGGUCACAGCCAAAUGUGACCAAGAUGUAUUUAAGUUGGGGCCAUAUCACAUUUUAAGAAAAUGAACCAGCAUAUUAAAUUUAGUAGGUUUCACAUACAAAUCUAGAUCUCCAGUUUCUCUAGAAAAAUUGUGAAGUCUAGCAGCACCAGGCCUGUGUUCUUGAAUAACAGCAAUCAAUUGAACCAGAUGAUCAGCCUAGUGGUUUGCCAUAGAACUCACUAUUCCCAGGGGCAUUUAUCAUACAGCUUGCAUUUUUUUUCAUUCUGAGUUUAAAAUAUAUUUUUUACCUCUUAUUUAUUUUAUGUUAUAUGCUUACACCAUAGUUCCCUAACCAUACAGAAAGUGUGAUACAUACCUACAAUUGAUUUUUCUCCCAUCCACCCUCUUCUGUAGGCAUCUGAGUUGUCAACCACUGCCCUGAAAACAAUUUUUAGUUAAAUGAGGCUGCACCAGUCCCGUGUAACCACUAGAUGGAGUCUAUUUGGCCUUGCUUGUUUCAGCUGCUCCUCAAUGUUUUGAUAACCUGAUAACCACACCAGAGCUGGUCUACAGACAAAAGGUUUACAGAAUCAAUAGUACGAUUUUCUUUUCCAGUAGUUUUCAGGGCUAAAUGUCACUCUGGUAAAAUUUUCCAUUAUAAUUUGUAAAUCUAAAUAUAUAUGUAUGAGAAUAUGCAUGGGAAAACAUAUGAGUUCAUAAUCACUCAAAUAAAGUAUUAUUGGAACUCCAAAACAGAAGGCAUUUGAUACUGCUAUUUCAGGGUUCACCUAGUUUUUAUCAACUUCAGGUGGAAAAUUAUCAAAGAAGAAAACAGGUAUUAUUUUUAUGGAAUGACAUAUUCUUAUCCUACCAUAAAUGUCUGAGUGUAGAGUUACAAUUUCUAUUAUUAGCAAAAGGGAAAAUAUUUUAAUAUAGGUUGUUUAUAAUAAAUAGUUUUUCAACUGAAGAAAAGUUAACCAUGUGCCGUUCACCCAAUUCACAUUCAUCUUUGCACCUUCUUAAAUUUGUUUUUAAAUUUGUCAAUAACUUGAUGGUUUUACACAAGGAUAGACCAGUAAAAUUGAUUUUCAGUCUGACAUCAAGGGCAAUACAGAUCCCAGGGGAGCAAGGCCAGCUAGCAUGAGGAUACUAUGCUACCAAUGUGUGAAUUACUGGGCUGCGAAGGAAGCCUAGAGGAAAUGAAAAAAUGUAUUUAUUUAGAUAUAACAAUGUGUGACUCUUCCCACUAGAAAUUAGAUGAAUCAUUUUGGUACUAAUUUAAAGCCAUUUUAACACAUAAAUGUCCUGUCAUUGGUUCAAUUUAUGUAGUAUCAGCUGUAUGUCCUAAACUGAGGUUAAGUCUACAGGUACAAAAAUAAGAAGGAAAUGGUUGGUCCUUACACCAAAGAAAUUUGGAGUCUGGAAAAAAAAAAUCACAUACAGGAAUAAUAAUUGUAAAGAAAAUGCAACAACUGAAAUUUAUAUAUUAUAAAAUGGUAUGCACAUAUAUUUGGUUUAUAAAUAACAUAAAUAUAACAUAUAAUGCAUCAGACAGAAGUAAAAGCUUUAAAUUUCAGUUAUAAAAUGAAAACAUAUUGCUAUGAAUAAUGAAAACUAAAUUAAUAAAAAAUUUUAUGUUAUCAUUCUGGAAAAUCUUUCAAAAACAGUCUUUGGGGUAGUAUAACUUUGUGACCAGAUGCUCAUAGCUCAAAUAUAAAGAUUAGUCAAAAUUGGCAAAAAGCUAUGUUCUACAGAACAAAUUAUCACUUGCUUCACAAAUAGCAAGUGUGCUCACCUAAGGAAAAUCAUGCUUGUACGAAAAAAGAUAGUUCCCUAGUUUCCAAAUUGUAGUAAAAAUGCAGUGAUCAUGGGCAACUUCAAAACCACAUCAAAGAAAACUGUAUGAAAAAGCAGACAGGGAAUGCAUAUUUUCAAAAUGCCACAAUGUUACAUUGCAAACCCUGGUCUAAACCGUAACAAAAAAUAAAACUAAUUUAAAAACCAAUUAUAAUAUCUGAGGAAACAGAUUACUAAAAGUAUGGAUAAAUGAAUUGUUCUUGAGAAUAUGUAUAAUUUCCAUAGAAAGAGUUAUAUAAAAUACUUGCACCUUACUUUUAAACAUAUUAAUCAUACACAUUUUUGUUUGUUUUACUUGUACACAUACAGGCAGCCAUUGAAAAGAUUAAAAUUUUAACUACAAUGAACAACUUAUUCUUUAGUCCAUGCAUUAACUAUGCAUUCAGGUAAAUAUCUGUGAAAAUAAUCAGUUAUUCUAAAACUGCUUAAGAUCUGGAAUGAUAGUAAAACUAUCUUUUUUGGAAGAGAAUUUUUCAGGAAUAUAAAUAUUUUCAUAUAACAUAAGAAGCUUCUAGAAAUGUAACAUUUUUAGACAGUUACAAUUUAUUAGAUACAGCAUUGAAAUAAUUUUCAUUGAAGAUGAUAUUAUGCUAAGCCAAUUUAUUUUGAGAUAUGUCUCUUAAAACCAGGAAAGUUAGAGAUGUUAUCUAAAAAAGAAAAAUCUUUCUUUUAAAGAUGAAAACAUUACAUUUACACUUACAAGUAAAAUGUAUUAUUAUUUAUCUAAAACACAGAGGAAUACUUAUUUUAUAUUUAAGAAUCGCAUUGUAUUAAAUUUUUCAAGAACAAUUACAAAACGCUAUCUUACAUUCAAAAUAGUUAUCUGAUAGUGGUCUAGAAAACAUUUACUAGCACAUUUCUUCUCAAAUAAUUUUCUUCAAAUGAAAGAGUAAAUACCAUUACUCAGAAUUAUCAUUUUUCUCAUUACCAGUUUCUUCACACAUGGGUUUCAAUCAAUAUUUAGUCAUUUUCAGACUAUGUAUUCACAAGCAAAGUGAAAUAGAUAAUUAUUUAAUCCCUUUAGUUCAAGCUCAAAAUAAUCAGUAUUUCAAUAAUCUUUGCUUUCAAGACUACUGUGAUUUUCAGACUGUAAUUUCACAGAAAAUUAGUUAAAUCCUGUAUUUCCCUAUGUAUAUGUGCUCAGUCUUGAUAAGGAAUAUUGUCUUCCAUUUCCUUGAUACUUAUGUUAAAAUUUACAAGAAAAUCAUCAGAAUUCAUCACAUCUUGUAAAGCAUAUUUUGUUAAUUUUAAAACAGUAUUUCUGUGUAACAGGCCAUUGUGGACAGAGAAAAUAAUUCUACGUCAAGGAGAAGUCCAAGGUCUAAAAGAAUGGAAAAUGCAAUUGAUGCCUGUUAUUAACACACAACAGGACUAGGGUGCAUGCAAUAAAAAGGAAAGAAAAUACACAGACAAAGAAUAAUUAAGGAUUGCAUCCACUUUUUACCAUUUUAACAUCUCUCCACUAUAGACAUUAAUAAUUGGGUAAUUGUAACUUUCUCCUGCUUUUACUCACUGGAGAGUUGCUGCCAAUAUCUCUAAUCAUCACAGCAUGUGCCAUUUGGCUGAAAAAGUGAAGGCAGUUUAGUAUAGAGAGAGAAAACAUUCAGGAUGAAGUGGGUUGUGAGAUGAACUGGAAAGGCAUGAAGAAACAAUAUUAGACAUGAUACAGAGUCUUGUUAUGCCCAUCGAGUUUAGACUAACCCGAAAAACAAUGUGUAAUAAUUGAAAAAUGUUCAUCCUCUUUAAAAGUAAGUGCUUUCCACAUUCUUAAAAUGUAAUGAUUAUUGCAUAAACUAGAAUCAUUAAUGUAAUGAUUAUUGCAUAAACUCGAUUAUUGCGUAAUAGGGGUAAAAAUAAAUAAGCUUAUUUGAGAAAUAUUAAGAAUGGGGCCACAGUUUGGGUUUUAGCAACUGAUUGGAAAGUGAUGCCAUUCACAUUGGACACGUUUAAAUUUGAGACGCUAGUGGAACAACCAUGUAUAGACACCUACUCGGCAAUCCUGCAUAUGAUCUCAACAUCAGAAGAGAGAUGUGGGCUGAUGACACAGAACUGAGAAUAGCCAGCGUUGCCACUGGGAGUAACCAUCACAUAUGUGGCAAAAAAGGCCAUUGGCGCAGAUAUAAUCACCCAGGCGGGAUGUGUAAAAUGGAAAAAGAAGGCAACCUAGAAGCAGGAUUCAACGUAUCAGAUACAGUAAUGAAGACAAUAAGAAAUUGGAUUGAUCCAGGUCUGGAGUUUUGCCACAGAGUGAAAUGGAACAACAAUAUGCAGGAGAAGUGAGGAUACUGAGUAUUUGUAAAGAAAAUAUCCCAAGUGCUGAAGAAAGCUUUAUUACAUAUAAAAAAUAUGUAACCCACCUGGACUAAAAUGAAAAAGAAAAUUCAACUAUUAGAGAGAAUUCUACUUGAAAAUUAUACAGAAACAAUUUCUUAGAAUGCUCACAAAAGACCUGAAAACAUGGGGAGGAAGCAGGGCAUUUACAGGUAACUGCUGCAUAAUUGGUUCAAUCAGACUUCUUUCAAACACACUGGAUGUAGCCAGGGAUCCAAGACCAGAAACAUACGCAGAAUAGCUUCCAGAAUCUCACGGCACAAACUGUAUCUAUCCUAUCCCUUAAUUUCCCACAUGUAAGUAAAUACUGCUGUUCUAAGGGGAUUUAUGUUAUGGGGUGCCGAUUCAUUUGUCAUCUCCUUGUUUCCAAUGUUAUCUACUACAGUCUCUUCAUCUUCAGAGAUGCCAAAGUGAUUUCUUUGACAAUAUGGAGCUUCCCAUCAUCUUUGGAAUUAGAUACAGUCUUGACCAUGGCCUGCAAGGUUCUAUAUGAUCUGACUCCUGGAUACUCACCUAACCUCACUUUCUACCAUUCUCUUCUCAUGAGCUCUGAGUCCUCAUGGCUUUUCCAAUGGUCUGAAUCUACUCUUGUUUCAGAGCCCUAAUACAAUUUUCACUCAAAUAUUCACAUAGUUCCUAUCCCACCCUUUAUUUCAGUCUAUGCUCAAAUGUCAUUUCAUAAGUGACAAGUACUUUCCCUGACAAGCCUAUCUCAAAUGGCAGGCGAAGUCCCUCUCUAGCCUUUUAUUGUUCUUCACUUAUACCUAAUUUAUAUUGUAUUAUCUUUUUAUUCAUAGUACAUAUUCCCAACUAGAAUGCAAUUUUCUUAAAGAUUAUUUUAUGCGCUACUGAAACCCAUGGUGUCUCUAGUAGUGUCAAAUAUAUAUUAUGUGUUCCACAAGCAUGUUUUCAAUAAAUAAAUUUCACACCAUGAUCAUUCUAGUCCAAGAAAAUAAAUUCAAAGCAGAUGGCCUACAGAUUUUCAGAUAACUUUCUAAAAGACCAGGGUUUAGCCACCCUGAAGAUAAUUCAAAUCUAGUAAGAACCUAUCAGUGAAUGAUAAAUGCAUUAAGCAAAUGUAAGAAUAAAAGCCAUGGACCAGAUUUCCAAUUUCUAAAAUGGCAAAGUAAGUUAAAUAUUUUAAUCAGGGCUUUAAAUGAGACAGCACACAGACCUUCAAAGUCAGAAAAUGAACUAAAAUGAGAAAGAUUCUCACCCUGUUUAAAAAUAAAAAUUCCUAAUAUAUAAAAACAAAAAUCACAAUGUGAUGGCAAGUGAUACUUUUGGAAAUAAUCAUUUAUCUUAGAUAAUGAUUAGAUUUUACUUUCUUAUAAAUGAAUUAUUAAAUGUUUAUUCACAAACUAAUUCACUACAUAAUAUGACUCCAUGUACUAUGAGGCCUACAUUAGCUACUGUGUAGGUGAAAAACUGAAUAAAAUAUUACCCUUAUCUCAAGGAGCUUUUUCUCUGGUAGGAAGAUCAUGUAGGUACCCUAAUAACU